GCGGGACGCGGUGUCGGCGUUUCUCCGCGCUGCUGAGAGCCUGCAAGUUCCCCUCUGGGCCUCCCAGCUUAUUUUAGUUCAGGAGCCCCUGAGGCCUAGCGUGCCGGUUACAAGAGCUCCUAGGAGCGGCUCGCCGGCUCCUGGCCUUUUCCGGGGCGAAGGGCCCCUCAGGGAGACCGUUGGACCGAGGUCUAGCGCUGCGUGCGCUCUGCGAGCGCCCGGGAGCGCGACUCCUCGUUCCCUGGGGCUGGAGAAGCCGAUGUUUCACCCGUCCAGACUAAGGGGUUGUUUGUCAUCCAGAAUUCUACAGUUUGUUGUCCCUAGGAGGAGUCUCCUGAUUUGGCCGCACGAGGGCGCUACUACACCUGCGGUCUCCUCUGUUGCCUACACCUGGGAUCUCCUCUAUUGGCUACACCUGCAUCUCCAGAAAUGAUCUUCUAGGUCUUCUCACUUGACUCCUAGUCAUCUGACCAGAUGCUCUGCCAUGACCACCAAACAUCUAUUACUGAUGUAGUCAGGAAGCUGCAUUCAGUCUCGGAUUCUUUUGUGAUUUGUAUUUAAUGAAUACACCAACUUGCAAGAUUAAUCAUGAAAAUUUUGAUUUAGAAGAGACCCUUUGUUUGGAAUAUGUUUGCUCUAGAUGUCUUCAUGGCUUGUUUCCUAUCAAAAUGGAUUCUGUGGGACUGCACUGUAUUUUGUUAUAAUUGGUCCACUUUUCUGUUUUUUCCUUUUCCUUCAUUUGGAAGAGCUAUUGGAAAUGUUUACAGUGCACUUAUUCCUCGCAAAAGCCCUGUGAAAUAGACAUUGUUCCUCCAUUUUAAAGAUGCUGCUAAUAAAAGCCAGAAGGUGCUAUGAAGGUUUUCUUGUAAGAAGAGGAAGAGACACCAGGGAUGCAAGUGCACAGAGAAAAGGGCAUGUGAGGACACACUGCAAAGGUGGCCAUCUGCAAGCCCAGGAGAGAGGCCUUAGAAGGAACCAAAGCUGCUGACACUUUGCUCUUGGAUUUCUAGCACCCAGAACUGUGUGUUUGAGGUCAGUUAACAUAGAACAUAUAAACUGGUCUCAGGAGACAUUUUGGAUCAUCUGGUAAAGACUUCACCUCAGCAGAUUACAACCAUCUUCUGAAGUCUUGGAGAUAGUCCCCAAGGAACUGUUGGGAACACGGCAGUGUGGUGUUCUUAGAGUGUGACCUCAGAUCUUACUGGUCCAGGUGUGUGAGAACAGCCAGACAAACUCAGCCAGAGGCACUAUCUGGCUCCCUUUGACUAUUGAACUGGAGAGCAGACUUGCAUUUGUGACCCAGGAAUUUGUUUACCUUGGGUGAGUUACUUCAGCUCCCUGAGACUCAGUUUCUUUACCUUUAAAAUGGGAAUAAGAGUAAUUUCUUCUCUACCUGCUAUAAAGGUGCUAUGGGUUAAAAUGUGUCCCCCCAAAAUUCAUACUUUGAGGUCCUAAGCCCCGGUACCCCAGAAUGUAACUUUAUUUGGAAAUAGAAUCAUGGCAGGUGUAAUUAGUGAAGAUGACAUACUGGCAUACCGGAGUUGGGGGAGCCUAAUUCAGUAUGACUGGUGGCCUUAUGAAAAGGGGAAAUUUGGACACUGACACUCACAGGGAAAACACCAUGUCAGGAUGAAAGCAGAGACCUAUAAGCCGAGGAACACCAAAGAUGGCCAGCCAACCACCAGAAGCCGGGGGAGAGGCCUCGAACAGAUUCUCCCUCCCAGCCCUCAGGAGGAACCAGCCCUGCAGACUCCUGACUACCAGUCUCCAGAACAGUGACACACUUUCUUUCUGUUGUUUGAGCCACCCAGUUUGUGGUACUUUGUUACAGCAGCUCUCCAAAACCGAUAUAAACGAGUUUUUUAAGAUCAGAUUUUACAAUAAAAGUUGCACAUUCCAGAAAGGGCUAUUCAUAUGUUAGUAUUUACUAUAGAAAAGCUCUGACUUAAAUCUGAAGAAUAACCCAACUGGUAAUGGUAAAAAUAUUACAGUAUUUUGAAAUAUCAAAAAUAGCAUGUACUAGGCUAAGCAUGCAAUGUGCAUUUUCUCAUUUGUUUGACUGACCAAGUCCUGUUCUCCUUCAUCUCUCAUAUCCUCUCCCUUUCUGUUACCACUGCUCCCAGUCACCACCGUGUCUCACCAGCGUGACUGUAACACUCUCCUGACAGUCCGGCUUCUAGUCUAGAACUCUCCAGCCCAUCCUUCACACAGCCAGAAGCAGUGGCGAUUUCAGAAUUUCUGUGCGAGCGUGGCUGGGGAGAGACAACCUAGUUGAGAGCCAGGACGGGGGUGACCACUGAGACAGCUGAGUGCUGUAAUGUAACAAGCAUGGCCUCUGGACCUGGCCUGGGUGUGUUCAAGUCCCAGCACCGCCACUCAGUAAUUGUGUGACCUCAAGUGUCCGCUCCUUCGUGCAAAGAUUGAGUUAACGCAUUUUAAAAGAUCGCUUAGGAUAUGGUGUGGCACACAGAAAGCUUCAAUAAGUCCUAGCUAUUCUCAUUCUUGUGUUUUGUUUUGUUUUGUUUUUGCUAUGGUCCUAUAACAAGCACAUAUUUCUAAGUUAAUGCUUCCUUGGUGGUGCUGAUGGAAAUGGUUAUGGAGACCACCCAUUGGUUAGCUACUGAGCUAUUGGUAAGAAUGAUUACAAAACUAAUCGUAAUAGUCCUCUGCUUAAAACUUCAAGUGCCAGCCAGAAAGAGAAAGAAAAAUACCAUGUGAUAUCACUCAUAUGUGGAAUCUUAAAAAAAAAAAAAAUAAAUGAACUCAUAAGUAAAACAGAAACAGACUCAUAUAGAAUACAGACUUGUGGUUGCCAGCGGGGAGGGGGGAGGGAAGGGAUAAACUGGGAGUUUGAGAUCUGCAGAUGCUGGCUGGUGUAUAUAAAAUAGAUAAACAAGUUUAUACUGUAUAGCACAGGGAAAUAUAUUCAGUAUCUUGUAGUAGCUUAUGGUGAAAAAGAAUAUGAAAAUGAAUAUGUGUAUAUUCACGUAUGACUGAAGCACUGUGCUGUACACCAGAAAUUGACACAACAUUGUAAACUGACUAUACCUCAAUUAAAAAAAAACUUCAAGUGCCUUUCCAUCUCCUCCAUGAUACAAAUCCACUCUUUGAUGUAGCCAACAUAGCCUUCCAAAAGGGGUCUUGCCCUCUCUCUCCAGCCUUGCCUCUCCCCACACGUCCUCUGGGACCCUGCACUCCAGCCACACUGGAGUACAUCAUAGAUCCCCCCUAAGGUGGGGGUUGGACAGCAAAGAUACUGGAUAGAUACCUGGAUACUCACCAAUAGGAAGGGACGAGUGGAGGUUGUGUGUUUCAGUCAAAGCGGCUGAGCCCGUCUCCCUUAACCCCCAGGCCCAUAUGUUUCCCUUGCUGUGAACUUAGAACCCUGCCAUCUGUCAGCCAGUUCCCUGUCGAAGCAGAAAUCCCCUUGAGGUUUGUUCUGAACUGGUAUUCCCUUGGGAAACAACUCACCCUCCAGGACCUUGGAAAGAAGCAGGAACCAUCAGAGCAGCCAAAUGAAAUAAUUCCUGUCUGCUGCUUAUUAAUUUUUUAAAAAGAUGAAUAAAAUAUUUCACACAAGGUGUUCUUAUAUUGCUUUUUGGUUUUGACUUCCCCAGAAUAAUUUCCAAUAACUAUGCUACAAGAAAUUUUUCAUGCAAAACCAUGUCUUCUAACCACUGCAUUGUA